AUCAAGCAGCGUGCCCAGGAGGAGAUGGAUUCCUGGUCUCUGGAGGAGUUGCGAGAGAGGAUAGACUGUACUUGGGGGCAAGUAUUGGACAGAUACAGAAGCCUGCCGGGGAAGCACGAGAGACAGCCUCCAAAAACAAUUGGGGGGGGCACACGGGUAGAUUGGCGGAGUCAGGGUUGAGACCUGAGCCAACUCCACGUGCUUAUCGGGGUGAGCAUGUGCCUGCUCCUCGCACUCUCCCUCCCCAUGCACCUCCACAGCCCAGACGUAUCGCCCCCACCUGCAGUCAGACAAUGUUAAAUCGGAGCUAUACGGAGCCCUCACAUUGUUACAAAAUUUGGGAGGCCAUGGCGAGAUGGUACGGAGCUCCGCAAUUGCGGCACACCCUUGAGUUACAUUCAACAUGGUUACUUCUGCUGCCUGUCAACCGUCAAACUACUGGUGAUGACUAAUCCAGCUGCUGCUGCUGAUGUUGACACCAGCUUUAGUAGUACAGAGCCUGUAGACCCAUUGGAUGAAAGUAUUCAGCCUGGAAUAAACUCAAGCUCAAAAUGAUCUGACUUUGAAACAAGCCGACAGCCAAAGGAGAAUUAUAGAACAAACAAAUCUUCUGCAUGAGGUUGAAGCAGCGGGUGGUGAAGAAAGAGAGGCUUUUCUACUUGGCUGUGGAGUGCAGAAAGGACCAGACUGUUGUCUACAAGGAGCCAGAGUCACAUCCCCCCCAAACCUAACAUCACUGCCAACAUCGCCACAGCACCAAAGCUUGCUAAACCAGCUGCCAUUACCCAAAACAAGGAGAGGUUCACCAGCUGAAGAACAUUCUGGAACUUGCCUGGAACAUUCAACCAACACAACAUCCAUAUUCUGUUAGACUGAUGUUGUAGUAUAAUAUAGAAUUGUAACGGAGACGCAGGGAGCUCCUCCUCGGAGUGCUAGAUGAACGGGGAGUAAUCAGGGAAGUGAUGACCUCCCCCCUCCGACGUGCGGCCCCAGCCGCAGGACGACACCGGCCCCGAGGGCGAAGAGCGGGCCGGUCUGGACGGCGAAGGUGGAAAUCUCAGAUGAGAUUAGUCUGUUAAUGUAGCAAAUAAGUAGACAUGUCUUGUAUUCAGGACAAAGUUUAUUUGUUCUGGGGACCGUGGUAAUUUUACACAGCAGUAUGCAGGAAUACAGUAUAUACAGUAGAAGAAAUACUAAUACUAACGCUUUUAAUAAAUACUACAGUUCUACAAAGGGAAUACUUGCAUAUGGUGUGUUUGGGUGGUGCAGUGAGGUGUUCGGAGUCACUUUGAUACAAUGGGAGUUUGCUGUUAUGGGACCUUUCACAUCUUGUCUUGAGUCAUCAAUUAUAUUUCUUGUCUGUGAGAGAAAGAAGAAAACUCUAUUACACAUUCAUGGGCAAUCGUUGUUUACUGUCUGUAUUCCUACUGUAGCAGCAUGCUGUAGAAUGAGACAUCUCACAGACAUGUUAAAUAGCUAGCUAGCUACAACACACAGGUAUAGGUACCCCAAGUCUAAUAUGAGUCAUCAAGCCAAAGUCAUUCCUUUAUUCUCCAGUAUCAUCAUCAAAACAUUUCUCCAGUUUUGCUCAUAAUGCGAGGCACCGAGGGUAGUUAGCUAGCUACAACGUUAGACUACAGUACAUUUUAAAUAUAGUAAACAACACGGCUAGCUUGGCUUGUAGUGGUUCUAACAAGCCGCGUUAUCGCCGAAUCGAUCACCAAAUUGUACUGAACAACACUGCCUCGGUUAAAAGAUAGAUUAUAUUGCUAGCUAGCUGCCGCUGCUUGCUGGCCUUGUAAUUAUUUUUCUUGCUGUCUCAACUUCUCUUCAGUGUAUUCCGGCUCACAUAAAUAGGCCCGUACGUUCCUAUGUAAAAUAAAAUAAAGGUUUUGUCGUUCAGCUCUUCUUGGAAAGAGGAAGCAGCCAUUGUAGCAAAUUAUUGAGCAUUCUCGGUAACAUAGCUCCUGUGAACCUGUAAACUAGUACCGCCCCCAUUUUUAAAAGCUUGCCUUCGAGGGUGGGAACAAGGAAGUAUGGCUCCCGUCAGGCUAUAGUCUAUACAAAACCAGGUAAAAUGAGUCAAUCUUGAUAUCCUGCAAUGUCCUGGCAGAUAGGAACAUCGUUGAGAAAAGUCCAAUGGCUCUAUUGAACAAGGACAACCAUAUCUACUCGCGUGAUCGUGCAGUCGGCGAAACACAAAGGCCACAAUAAUUGCUUAGAAACGUAACUCCAUAAAUUUUUUGAUCAGACAGCAGGCUCAAUCAACCAAUGACAUAAUUGUCUGAAUCACCCUCUCAUCACUCUGGAAAAACACCCCAAAAAGUCUCUAGUGGUGAAGUUUCCCUUUAAGGGAUGUACACAAAGGCUGGCUAUCCUUGCAUCGGAAACAGAGUUGUGAGGACGGCAAAGCACUGCCACUAUUGGUUGAUUAUCC
rnacentral:lncRNA from 1 species